rnacentral:piRNA from 1 species
UUGUCCUCAUAGCCUCUGGGCACCUCCUA